UUAAUGUUUUGCCCAAUGUUCUUGUGCAAUAAAUAGCUUAAACUCCAUUUGAUGAUGAUUUGGUUUUUAGUUUUCUGAAUUUGAAAUUCAUGCUUGUUUCCUCUCAUGUUCCAAGCUGGACUAUCAACUUUAUUAAAGAAACACUUGAAUUCUUAAUCAAAUUCUAAAAAUGAAGUUAUCUAGGGGGAUUUAAAUAAAUAUUUACCUUUUUUUCUUCUUCUUUUUUUCCUAUCUCUCGUGCUCACUUUUUUUACUUUUUCCUCUUCUGUCACUUUCUUAGGUCGGAUGUUCUGGGUCAAUUCAUGCCCUUUGUUGGAAUGGAUUGGUCACAAACAGGUGUCACAAAUUUAUUUUCUGCUAUUAAGGAAAAUGGGUACCAAUUGCUUUUUCUCAGUGCACGAUCAAUUUCUCAGGCGUAUCACACCCGCCAAUUUCUUUUCAACCUUAAGCAAGAUGGGAAGGCUUUACCAGAGGGGCCUGUGGUUAAU